GACAGAGGGUGCAAGCGUUGUUCGGAAUCACUGGGCGUAAAGGGCGUGUAGGCGGCAGGGUGUGUCUGAUGUGAAAGCCCACGGCUCAACCGUGGAAGUGCAUCGGAAACUACCUUGCUCGAGUACGAGAGAGGGUGGCGGAAUUCCAAGUGUAGAGGUGAAAUUCGUAGAUAUUUGGAGGAACACCAGUGGCGAAGGCGGCCACCUGGCUCGUAACUGACGCUGAUACGCGAAAGCGUGGGUAGCAAACAGG
rnacentral:rRNA from 1 species